CUCACAAAACGACCCCUGGAAUGAGACCCCAUCGACCAUCGUCAGCCGCCUCAACUUGACCCCAAAGUCACACCCCUUGACCACUAGACCCCCCUCGUCCCUAAUCUAGCACUACCAUCAUUCGAAUCAAGCUGGAUGCUUUCGAAUUUGAAGUCAACUCGACGAACCCUGAAAGAACCAAGCCAGGGGAUCGAUACACAGUAGAAACUGCGGUCGUAAUCGACCUUAGUCGUGUGUUCUCGGUCGAGAACACUCGAUUAAGGUCCAUUUCGGCUUCAGAAUCAAGUUGAAGCUUCGAGUAGGACGAAUUCGUUUGGUCUGAGAUUCUGAGGUAUUUCUUCUCUUUUUUUUUUCUUUUUUUGUUGUUGUUGUUGUUAUUGUUUGCCUAGUUAGGUUUCGUUGUAAUUCAUCAUUUUAUCAAGUAGUUCUUCCUCCUCUUUCGGACCUUUUUCUUGGUCCAGUUUUCUUCUGUUGAUUAGCAUAUGCUAUAAAUUGUUGAAUCGAUUAAAUAGUUUCGUCGAUUAGUCCGUUCAUGUUUUUAGUUUAGUAGUCCUCGUCAAGUUAUUUGAUGUCGAUUGACUCAUUUUCUGAUCCUUAGAUUCCCAGCUUCAGGGCUCAUCGUUAGUAUGCUAUCUGUUCCUAAAUCUUUGUUUUAAUGUUAUUCAUUUAAUUUGAGUUUCGAGCUUAAACUGUGGUCUGAGUUUGAUGAAUUGAAUCCUAAGGUUGUCAUGUUCAGGGUCUGAUAUGAAUCUAUCAUUGGUUUAAAUUCAGUUUUGGUGUGAUAGUGUUGAUUAGGAGUUAGUUUCAUGUGGUUUAGGUGGAUUGGUUAUAGCUGAUGGGUAGUAAUGACCGGGGUUUCAUGGGAUAAUUUGGGACUUAAAAGUUUAAAAAUGGUUAGUUUAAGUGUUCUGUCCAGUAAGUACUAAUGUAACAUUAAACUAAUGCAUUUGUUUAGUAGUAGUGGGGAACAAAACAUAAUAGCAUGGGGAGGCCUAAUGGGAAAGUAAUUAAAGUAUGUACUACCCAUAACCAUUGAAUUAGAUAAAGAAAAGACAAGGGUUAGUGGGGAACAAGUGAAUCAAAAACAGAGCAAAACAUAUAUGGGUGGGGUUCUAGAGAAUAUCAUGGGCAAAAAUGCUUAAUUAAUGGGUCUGAGUGCUCCUAAGAGCUGUAAAAGGGGAUGUAGUUUGCAUAUAAAUAGGGGGAUUUUGGACAGAGUUAAGGAUCCUUUUUUUUCAAAUAGGACAGAGUCUUCCUUUUUGAAUCAGUUUUAGAGAGAUAUAGAGCUUUUAAGGCACUCAGUUUUGGAGAGAGGUUCAAGACUGGAAUCAAUUUGAGAAUGCUUUGGAGAGAUUUUCUAGGAUUUUAGUUCUUAGGGAGCAUUUUGAAAACUUUUAGGGCAUUCAAUUCUAAUUUGAAACAUACAGAGAGUUUGAGAUAUCAAUUUUAUGAGCCCUUUUUUGAGAGCUUUUGGAUUGCUAGCUACUGGAGUCAGUAGUGUUUUCUGCUUGAUUUUCGAGAAGACUUUUGAUUUCAGUCGAGACAUUCUAGGAGCAGAUUGAGCGUGUUGUUGAUGUGGUAUGUUUCUAGGUUCAAUUUGAAGGUCAUUUGGGUUUAUUCGAAUCUAUUUUGGGUUGAUUUAUUUAUCUUGUUAGUUUAAAACAUUUCUGAAUUCUUCCUGUAUUGAUAAAUAUAUUUCUGGGCUGAAGCUGGGUUGAUUGGUGUUGUUUGAACUCAAAUACUUGGUUGUUGUGAUCCGUUGUGUGCUGCUGUUGCUAACCUCUCCUUCUUCCUAUUCCUUUAUGCUUUCAGGUACACAUUCUCAGUUUGAGUUGAUGUAGCUCUUUUGGUUAAAAAAUAGUGAAAUGAAAUAAUUUCAUAUUCACCUCUUAACAGGUGUGGGUCCAAGUAGUUAUGCCAAAAAUAGGUAAUAGUUGAUUUGUAUUUGUUUAGACUUACUUUAUGAUUUACAUUGUACAAGUGAGCUGAAGAUUGGAUUGUAUAACUUAAGACUGAUUUUGGACUACUGAACUCUCAGUUGGACUUAUGUGUUCGUGUUGGCAAUUAGGUAGAAAUUGAAGUAGUAUUCGUACUAUUAACAAAUCAUGUUUGAAACUCAGCAUAAAUGAGACUAUUACAUGUUGUAUACUAGUGGUAGUUAGUUCAUGUUAGGUGGAUAGAACAAUCUCAUAAGUGAUUUGUUUAACAUCAACAUCAUCUUCAUAGCUUGAGUUCUAAUUAAAAAGAAACGGUGUUGGUUUAGUUCAAUUUGGUCAAUGAAUUCAAUAGGUUCAAUGAAUUGACAAGCACGUCCUUAAAGUCUGUUUAAAACAAAAUCGCAGAUAGAAAUGUCCAUUCUUUGUCCUUGAUAAAAGAAACCAAACAAAAUAAUCCGUUGAAUGAACUGG
rnacentral:lncRNA from 1 species